UUUUCGGGCCAAGGACAUUUGUAUACCUUAGUAUACAUGAACUUUAAUUCUUUCUGGAAAAGUUUCAAACACACAAUUUUGUUUACAAAACCUGCAAGCAAUGAUCAACAACGAAUGGUUAUGUUAGCAAAACAACAGUUUUCGAUGAGUCAUACUCUUAAAAAGAAAUAACAGGAAAAUAAUUAGGAGACGUACCUCUAUGCUGCGACCGCCGAGAUACCGGGAAGAUUGAAGCGCUGAGGCGUCAACAAAUUCAAGUUGAGGAUAUAAAUUCAGCCACCAGGUGGCGGACCAUGGCAUGAAGAAUGCAACGCAUGGCCAUGAAAUAGCCUAGCCAUUAGUGAAUUCCGUAGAGAUCGACUUAAGACGAUGUAUAUCCCAGUAUACAAAAAGAACCAAGAGGAUAUAUGGGACCACACCAG